UCUCAAGAUAUGGGGAUAGUGUUUUUUUCUCGAGGGUAAAACAGUGAAAUUAAAAAGUAAAUAACUUGAUAUUUUAGAUAGUAUAUUUUGCUGUUGUGUUUAGCAUCUUUAAGAAAUGUUUAGUUUAGCCAAGUCAUUAAAUAUUCUUAAUUCUAGUGGCAAGGGGAACUUCUAUCCUAUCUGUUCUUCCAUUUUAUAUAGUGAGUGAAUGCGAAACAUCAGCCAUGUUGCCAUUGGAAUGCCAAUACUUAAAUAAAAAUGCCUUGACCCCAUUGGCUGGCCCACUUACACCUCCAGUGAAACAUUUCCAACUCAAACGGAAACCAAAAAGUGCCACUCUCCGAGCAGACUCUUGCAGAAAUCUACUGAAACUGCACAGCAGCUCAAGAAGACAGCUGGAGUGCCUUUCCAUGCCAAGGGAAGGGGGCUAGUGAAAAAAAUCGAUACAACAACUCCACUGAAAGGAAUACCAAAGCAAGCUCCAUUCAGGAAUCCCACAACCCCAAGUGUGUUUAGUCCUGCUGGAAAUAGAACUCCAAUUCCUCCCUCAAGAACCCCUCUGCGUAAAGAGAGAGGAGUAAAGGUA